rnacentral:RNase_P_RNA from 1 species
CCCGGUACGCAGGUGAUUGCUUUAUUUAAAAAAAGAUAAAGAGGAAAGUCCGGACUCCAGAAAAAAGGCAGUGGGUAAUGCCCACCGGAAGUAAUUCCAGGGAAAGUGCCACAGAGACAAUACUACCCGAUCAAAUGAUCGGCGAAAGGUGAAAAGUGAAUUCAAGUCAUUAAUCGGCUAGAAUUCUCGUCGUCUGGUGACAGACUGACGCGGUAAACCCUGCCUGGAGCAAGAGCAAACCUUUUAUUGCCAAUGGCAGUAAAAGAUGAAAAGUAGCUCGCUUGAAUCCUUAAGUAAUUGAGGAUCUAGAUAGAUAAUUACCGUUCGGUUCAAUUUCAGUUGAUUAUAUUAAUUAACUGAGACCGGAUACAGAAUCCGGCUUAUCGCGUGCCGGGUGUU